rnacentral:rRNA from 1 species
GACGAACGCUGGCGGCGUGCUUAACACAUGCAAGUCGAACGGAAAGGCCCUGCUUUUGUGGGGUGCUCGAGUGGCGAACGGGUGAGUAACACGUGAGUAACCUGCCCUUGACUUUGGGAUAACUUCAGGAAGCUGGGGCUAAUACCGGAUAGGAGCUCCUGCUGCAUGGUGGGGGUUGGAAAGUUUCGGCGGUUGGGGAUGGACUCGCGGCUUAUCAGCUUGUUGGUGGGGUAGUGGCUUACCAAGGCUUUGACGGGUAGCCGGCCUGAGAGGGUGACCGGCCACAUUGGGACUGAGAUACGGCCCAGACUCCUACGGGAGGCAGCAGUGGGGAAUAUUGCACAAUGAGCGGAAGCCUGAUGCAGCAACGCCGCGUGCGGGAUGACGGCCUUCGGGUUGUAAACCGCUUUCGCCUGUGACGAAGCGUGAGUGACGGUAAUGGGUAAAGAAGCACCGGCUAACUACGUG